rnacentral:rRNA from 1 species
GGGGGGAUCGCAAGACCUCUCGCUAUUGGAGCGGCCGAUGUCAGAUUAGGUUGUUGGUGGGGUAAAAGCCUACCAAGCCGACGAUCUGUAGCUGGUCUGAGAGGACGACCAGCCACACUGGGACUGAGACACGGCCCAGACUCCUACGGGAGGCAGCAGUGGGGAAUUUUGGACAAUGGGCGCAAGCCUGAUCCAGCCAUGCCGCGUGCGGGAAGAAGGCCUUCGGGUUGUAAACCGCUUUUGUCAGGGAAGAAACGCUCUGAGUUAAUACCUCGGGGUAAUGACGGUACCUGAAGAAUAAGCACCGGCUAACUACGUGCCAGCAGCCGCGGUAAUACGUAGGGUGCAAGCGUUAAUCGGAAUUACUGGGCGUAAAGCGUGCGCAGGCGGUUAUGCAAGACAGAUGUGAAAUCCCCGGGCUCAACCCGGGAACUGCAUUUGUGACUGCAUAACUAGAGUACGGUAGAGGGGGAUGGAAUUUCCGCGUGUAGCAGUGAAAU